AGACAGGAAAGAAAGAAGUUUGAUUCUCAUCAGUUAGGUCCAUUUUAAGACAUGCUGGAAUACAGACUACAACUUUGCUUAAACCAUGAAAGGACUAUUUGUAUUUCACGAAUGAAAGCUGGCUGUGGUUACUGGGAACAACACGGGAUUCUGUAAGUGCUACACCUCAGCAGCUUACUCCAAGAUCUGCCUGCAUAUUGGAAGAAACUAAACUUCACAGAUUUGCAUCUCCCAAAUUGCCUCCCAGUUUUGAAUGCCCUGUCACUGAAUUGAGUUGACGGGAAAAGCUCCUGCUGUCAAAAGCUGGUUUAGAUGAUUAAUUCCAGUUUCAGGUGCUCAGGCAGUGAUUUUCACUACUUAAGGCAGCUUAAUGUUAAGGCUUCGGCAGCACUCCAAUACCACAUUAAUAUUGUUUUUAUUUCAUCUAAGUGGUAAUAGUAAGUUAAGGCAGUAAUACAGUAUCAUGAUUUGAAACUUAAGAGUUCAUUUUAUAAAGAAAUCUGUACUUAAAUCAAAUAGAAGUCAUACUUAAAAAGCAAACAGAAGUUCUGUUUAAAGGAAAUACAUUUUAUUCACUCUGCUA